UAUUAAAAUUUUUAUCAAUUUUUAUUGUUAAAAACUGACGUGAUUGACAGAAUAACCAAACAGUUAAACUUAACGUGCCACAUGUAUCUCAUUCUAAUGUACAUGGACUGAUUUUUAAUAGUAGAAAUGGAUGAAAUUUUUAAUA
rfam:Gossypium raimondii Chr09_contig_1791, whole genome shotgun sequence.